GGCAGAGUAAGAGUUGGAUAAGGUCAGCACCACCCAUCUGCAAUGGAAACUCAAGUCAGUGAGCUUGUUUAAGGGCUGGCGUAUGAAAGCUGAGGCAGCAAGACCAGGGAGUGUCUCUCAAGAAUGUAAGGGUGUCAGGAACCCUGACGCUGUCAUGAAGAGCAAGAAGGAAGAACUCAGAGAAUUCAAACUCAGCUGGAGACUGCUGGAGGAGCUGCCAGACGCAAUCAAGGAAGAGGAGAAACACUGGGGCCUGAGAAGAGGGAAAUUAAGAGGUUGGAAGGGGUUAUGGGGACCUAAAUGGGGAGGAUGAUAAAAUAACAGGGGAUGAGGGGCACAGGAACAGAGGACACUAAGGAGGUCAGGGAGUGGAAAUCUCAGUUGAGGUAGGGGGUUGUGGUCCCUCACUCAUCUGGGUCUCCCUUCAAGCUUAGCCCAACCUCAGAACCCUUUGGACCUAAUUCACCUCCGAUGGAUUUUACUAUUUAAUUUUCUCAUCCCCGUACUUCUUAAUAAUACUCUCCCAGUACCCUCCCCAAACAUUCUCACCUCUUCACUGGCCCCAGUUCCCCCAAGUCGGGUCAGGAAAGGAUGUCCAGCUGCCACCCACUCUCGCUGCACUAGUGAUUGGAAGCCAAGCAGUGUCCGGGCUUCAGGGGCUGAAAGCAGCUGGACGAGUGAAGAGAGGAGGCCAUUGAAAUCACGAUCACCGCGCUCUGGGUGAUAAAGAGGGAUAAGGGACAAAGAAGGAAGGCCAAGAAACUAGGGCAGAAGAGAGUGAGAAAAAGAAAUAUGGCAAGAGGAAGUGAGCAGCACAGAGGGGGAAAGUUUGGGGUAGGUAGGAUUGAGAGGGCACAUAAAAGUGAAGAGAAAACAAAGACUUUGAGUGAUUCACUUCAUACACUCCACCGAGAUAGAAAUACCCAGCUUCACAUGUAGGAAGCAGAAUCAUAAAUGUCCAACCAGCUUCCACAUUUUCCUUCCCACCCCAACCCCAAUCCCCAUCCUCUGAUGGAAGGACAGGAACAGAGGGCUGAGAACCCCUCUGUUAGGGACCACAAGCUUAGUGGGGAGGCAGAAGUAGCACUGAAGGAUGAGUUAGAGCUGAUGGGUAGUUCCUAGCAAAACGAGAGGAUGCUAGCACUGGGAGGGGACAAGGAAGCUUUAUAGGUCUCCCUCCCUGAGCAGAAUCCAGUCAGGUGAGUAAAGAGAAAAGGCAAGGAAUGGAGUGGGUUGGCCCAGAAACUCACCUUGAAGUACUACAGAGCGAACCCUGGAUGUCACUAAGACUGAGAUGUCACUAGCCUUUCGAAGACAAGACCUAGAGGAGUGGGUGAGGAAGAGAAGGGGAGAAUAACAAGCCUGGAGGAAGGGAAUGAUGGGUCAGGGGAUACAACAGAGACAGACUCCCAAUUCCUUCCCCCUCUCCUUCUAAGGAGAAACAAAUAACAGUCUUCUUGGGGAACCAAGGAGAAGAGUUAAUGGAAGACCAUUUAGGAGUCAGAGGGAGUACCUGACGUAGUCCAACCAUCGUGUUCCAUCCAGAGCUGAGAGCCAUUUAUCCUCAGCCACAGAUGAAUCUGAGAGAGAGUAGAGGAGUCAGAAGGGCAAAGAGAUCAGGAGAACUGGGAGUUCAGGAUCCAGAAUUAAGAAGGGUCAAUAAUAAGUUGGGUAGUGGUUGGGUCUGGGGUUAGGAAUGAGAAGUAACUAUAAAUGGCUAUGAGGUUUCUACAAUUAAGUUGUGGCGAUGGUUGUACAACAUUGUAUAUACAAUGAAAUGCAUUGAAUUGUACACUUAAGAUGGGUGAAGGGUGAAUUUUAUGGUACAUAAAUUAUAUCUCAAUGAAGCUGUUUAAAAAAAAAAGAAUAUCUCGGGGUCAAAAAGACAGGAAAUCAGUGAGUCUGUGGGAGAUGCGAGUUGAGUAGAAAACUAAGGAUCAGUGGGUUGAAGGGGUACUCAUCCACAGCAGGCAAAAGGGUAAACCAGGUUAGGGUCAGCAGACCUAGAGAUGGGGUAAGGGGUCAUAGUUUAUCUCACCAGGCAGGCAGAGGGCCCUCAGCCUCAGGUGGGCAAGUUGGACGUCUGCAAGACUGGGGAGCUCAUCCAUAGUGUCUACCAGGACAACGUCUGAAUGCCCAGCCUGGAGCAUCAACUCCACUACUCUGGAGGGGAGAGAGUCAGAAAGUAAGGGAAGCUGUCUGCCCUGAAUAUCUAACGCUUGAUUCUUCUCAUCAAACCUCCCCUCACCUGAUAUCAUCCUUGUUGGGGUCACUGGCUGUAUAGAAGCCACCACAGCGGAGAAGAUCACUACCCCCAGGGUGAUGCCAGGACAGGCGCUUCAUGUGGAUGAGAGAAGGAUCAUUGAGGGAGAAACUCCUAGCCCCACCCUACCCUUGCCCCCACACUGACCUCACAGGGAUCCCCUCCCUCCACAAUGACCCGUAACCUCCCAUGACCCUCUAAUCCCCAACCGUUACCCUCACCCUCACACUGACCGGUCCACGGCUCUGAUGGAAGUGGCCAAAUGCUCUCCUGACCUCACUGUCCAGAGUUCGGUUAGGGACCCAGAAGUAACGGGGGAGGCUGUGAAAUUGAGAGUUAUGUCACAGCUUGGCUCAGUGACCUCAUUAUAAUGCGAACCUGUUAUUACAAGGAAGCUGCUUAGGAGGGGAUCAUUCCAAGGGAUCUCAAGUUUAGAGAUCUAGGAAUUAAAGGGGAUAGCUUUGCGGAUGUCCUAGGAGGCUGGAGUUUGUGGGAAGUCCUAGUUUUAGAGGAUCAGAGAAGUGUGGGAAGAUUGAGGGGGCAGCAGGGGUUGGGUGGACUGGGGGAUCACCUGGUGGCUACGUCGAACCUCUCGUUGACAGUGCUGACCCUCCAGCCCCUGGCCCCCUGCUUUUUCCGCUCAAUCUCCCAGUCUUCUGAUGUCUCCAAGAGGGGAAUAGGUGGUUUACUGGAACUAGAACUCUGGCCUAGGGCAGGAGGGAGGCACAGAGGAGGAGGAAGAGGAACCAGAGCCAGCUCAGCUGUUUUGCCUUCAGCCAGCUUCUGCUUUUUCAGACUCUCUACCCUUUCCUUAUCCUAAAGCCCCCACACUCACCAGCCUUGCUCAGGGUUAUCCCUGCAUACUGUUGGGCUUGACUGUUCUGAGCUCUGGCUUGGACAAUGGCCAUGGUCACCUGUAGAAGAAAGGACAUCCCAUCCUUUGUCUCAGACUGAAGUGAAAAGAAGGAAAUAGGGCUCAUGUGUUGCUCCACUGUCUUUGCUGCCAAUAGAGAAGAAAAGCGAAGACAAUCCCUAACGAAGGGAGCUUCCACAGGUCAUGGGGACUGGAGUCAGGGGAACACAUUUAGGACCAGAGAAUGACAGAAUGGUAAUUCUGGGAGGAAUCUUGGGGAUAAUCUUAUGCAACCCUCCCUGUUUUUCAAAGGAAGAAACUUGUCCGCAGUUACACUCCUGAUAAUUGGCAGAGCUGGGCUAGAAUUCAGGCCUUUACUCUCAUUAUACUAUCAUUUUAGUCACUCCUUGAGAAGAGAAGCAGAGAGAAUGAUGAGAGGGAUCUUGGGAGACAGGGGACUAUUGGGAAUUUCCAGGGAAAGGAUGCCAAGGUUCUAAGGGGAAGAGGGGUCCUUGGGCUGGAGGCCUCUUACCUGAAAGGCCUGUGGCUCUAGUCCUCCAGCCUCAAAACCAACUCUGAGUAGCCGGAAGUCUUGGCCAUGAAUCAGAAUCUCCUCAGGGAUAAAUUUAAGCAGGGACCCUGGACGGAGGAGCUGGACUCGGGACAGGCCAUUCACUGAAGUCAAGAGAGAAUGGAGUGAAGUAAGUCAGAAAGAGAAAAACAAAUACCGUAUGCUAACACAUAUAUAUAU